CUGGCCCGCCCAGGCCCGAGUGCCGCCGUCACCACCAGCGCCCGACCCCGAGCUCCUCCUCCCGUGCGCCUCCUCCCUGGCCUCCCUCGCGCGUCGUCCGGCGACCGGCGCCGCCGCCGCCGACCACCCAGGUCACGCCGCCGCUUCCAUGCCUUUUCUCUCUCUAAUCUUCUUGUCUCUCCUCUCCAGGAGCUCAGCGCCAGCGCCAUGGAUGUCCAGUCCUCGAGCUCUCCUCGGAGGUUCGAACGCCGCCAUGGGACCUCCACCAGCCAGAUCCGGCGCCUACCUCCCGGAUCCGCGCUCCCUCCACCUCCUCUACCCGAUUCGGCGCCGCCGAACCCGCCAAGACCUCCACCAUGGAGUUCCUAUAGCUCGUCCCCUGCCUCCUCGUCCUGUGCUAGAGGGAGACGCCCCUCCAGCGCAUCCAGGACAAGGCCCACCACCAGCCGGUCGUUGUUGCACUCGCCGGCGACCUCACCCUCCCCUCUGCACUGCCCUCCACCUCAACUAAUGCUUCUCAUCAUCAGGGAUAGAUUUAGCUGGUCAUAGCUUGUGGAUGUUCUCUGUUAAUUUUUGCACACAAGGUGUUUGUGUGUUUGUCCAAGCCAAUGUUCAUGAGCUUUAUCUUUUCUAUAAAUGACAUGGCUGAGAAAGUCCCUUCAAUGAAAGGAGGAGGAGUAUAGUCUUGGCCAUGGCUGGGAAGGAAGGAUAACAUGCCUUCAUGCUGGACAGAGGAGGAGAAGAAGGGGGGCACGUCGAAGGUGCCGGUGGAGCGCGCCGUCGAGAUCGUUGAUGACAGCGACACGGGCGAGGCCGGGGAGGAGGUCAUGGUUGAUGCUUUACUGCCUGAAUAUGUUGACCGGGAACAAGAGGGUAAGGUGGAUGUGAGGGCGGAGGCGCAUGCCAUGGUGCAGGAUGUUGUGGAAGCCUGAUUAUUUGAGGAAGUGACAGCCACUGGGAGCAUGGAUCGACAGACUAGACAGCAGACCAAGUCCAUUGAUCGGCUGAUUCAACAACGAAGGAAGAGGCAGAAGGUUAUAAAAACGAGCUUGGGGAUUUACUGACCUGAAUCUUAAACAGGGCCGCCCUGCUGAUGGACUCAAGCUCCAGAUAUGCAAAGUCAUAGUCCUGCAUGUAUGGACAUCUACUGAUACAUACAAGCCGAUCGACGGGCACACACAUUAUCCAUCACCGAGCAAAUGUUUGGGAGUUGGAAAUUAUUUGGAUACACAUGAUCUUAGCAAAGAAAGAUUCAAACAUACUACAACCAAAGGACCUCCUUCACUCUCUGUGCAACUACAGAAAUUAUCCUUAUGAGCAGCACCCUAGGUUUAGUUGUGGGUUCUAACAUAUUAGAGAUGUGGUUAGAAUACCUACUGCUCUGAACAAUUAAGUGGUUUGUAUAAACCACCGAUCCCCUCGUGCAGUGUACAAUGUGAUAUGGAUCAUCAUAGGAUCAAACUUAAUACAGGAAGUACACACUUAAUUGUUUCUGAACUAUACUACUUUUUAUGUUCAUUCUCCUGUCCUUUUAAAUCUCUAAUUUAGUUGCAAGUAUUUUAUUUGUUAUCGUUUGGCUUCUUAAGAACAAAUCUAGCAAGUUUGGCUUCUUAAGAACAAAUCUAGCAAGCAACGACUCGACUGAUGAAAGAGAUGUUGACCAUCUUUGCUGCAGUGAGGCUGUGAAUCGACAAACAGCCCAGAAAAUAUGGCAUGCUACAUACCCUGUGACAGUACAUUAUCAGAAAUACUUAUAUUUUUGAUAAACGCAUCUCUCAUCCAUCAUGACAUAGAUGUGAUGCGUUGCAAGUGUUUUUUUUCGUUCUCUCGCGAUGCGUCGAGUACAUGAUGGAUGGUCUAAUCGUUCAGUGUGUCAUGUGUACUCAGUCACUUGUGUCAUCUUCAGAUUUUAGAAGUCAAAAUUCUAGCUUUAGCUCUAUAUUUAAGAAUUUUUCUACGGCAAAUGCAAGAAAAAUAAAGCGUCCUUCUGCUCUCAUUCUGAGGAAGUUCUGAAAAAUUGAGGCAUUUGUAUGAAUUUCUAUUCUUCAUUAUAAAUUAUCCUUUCAAGUUUAGAAAAUAAAACAUGAUAUACUCUGUAUGUCUCUGUUCUACACUACCACUACCAUUUUAUUGCUGCAAAACGCCAAUGAAAAAGUCAUUACUAUUUUCCACAUUUUUAUACAAUCAAGCUGAAAGAGCAAUAAAAUGAUUUGUUUUUGACAUCGCCUCAGAUCUUACCGAAAGGCAAUGUGCUUAUAAUGUACAUCUAGAUAACAAUAAUGUGUUUGGGAAUGAUUCAUUUGUCGACGGCCAGCAUGUGGGGUGUGAGGGACGAUACUUAUAUCACUUAGUGGCCAAGGGAAUGACAUCACAAAAGUUUAUCUAAAAUCCUAGGAGAAGAUGGACACAUGUUCCUAUAUUGCUUCUCUACAAUUGCUUUCACCAUUUGAUCAUCCAUGUAAUUUAUAGCAUCCAUGCAUAGCUUAUCCUUAUGCUGUUUGUAUUCACUUAUUCCUUUUGUUGACAUGGCUAGGAGGCUACUAUGAAUGUCACAUAGAUUGUAAUUUAACCUCCUUACAAAUAAUUAACGUUCAAACAUUCCAGUGGAGGAAUCUCAAGACUUAGGAAUGGUGCCCCGACAAUUGUGAGCGGCACAAAGGAAGGGCCGCCAUCACCAAGGAAGUACGUUCACAAUUGUGGACUCCAAAGAGGAACAAGCUCUAUAUUUAGUGCAUUGAGUUGCUAUUUUAAAUUCUGAGAGGUGUUCAAUUUUGUCGAUUUCUAAGACAUUGACUCGGAAGAAUUAUUAUUUUGCUUGAUGUAAACUCGGAUUAAUUUGUCAUGUCAUUUGAACUGAACAACCUUUUUGUGACAUCACUUCA